UACGGAGGGGGCUAGCGUUGUUCGGAAUUACUGGGCGUAAAGCGCACGUAGGCGGAUCAGCAAGUUAGGGGUGAAAUCCCGGGGCUCAACUCCGGAAUUGCCUUUAAAACUGCAUCGCUAGAAUUGUGGAGAGGUAAGUGGAAUUCCGAGUGUAGAGGUGAAAUUCGUAGAUAUUCGGAAGAACACCAGUGGCGAAGGCGACUUACUGGACACAUAUUGACGCUGAGGUGCGAAAGCGUGGGGAGCAAACAGG
rnacentral:rRNA from 1 species